rnacentral:lncRNA from 1 species
CACAGUAACAAAUGCUACAAUAUUUGACUUCCCUUAUGAUCCAUAGUGUGAGUAGAUAAAGGUCCAUUGCUACCUUGAUACAUGUAGAUUUUGGAUUUCGAUUUGAGUUUUUUCCUCGAUAGUUGCUAAGAGUGUUAAGUAAGUUUAUAAACUCGUUUCUGUGCCAUAUCUUGACAUGGUUUGCCAGCAAAGUCUGCAAACUUGUUUAGAUUUUCAGUGGUCUCCGAAAACUCCUUUUGCAUUGCUUCUUCAAGCUGACGAGCCAAGGCAUCUGCAGUUCGUCUAAAUUUAUCUAUCCCAUUUCGCCUUCAGACGGGGAAAUUUGAGACUGCCGGCAACCUAUCGCAGAUACAUUGUAUCAAUCAGUAUUUAAACCUCAACAAAAGGCUAGGAGUGAUGAACAUGAACACAAGCCAUCAACUACCAGUGUAAAUUCCCACCAAUAUAAAAAAAUGAAUUAGAAUCACUCAAUAACCCAUCAAUAGACAGAAACCGAACAUGCGCCUUAGGGGAAAUGUAAGAUUCAGUUGGAAGGACAAUAAACCUAUGGUUAUUGUUUUUU